rfam:Melampsora larici-populina 98AG31 unplaced genomic scaffold MELLAscaffold_61, whole genome shotgun sequence.
GCCCGGUUAGCUCAGUCGGUAGAGCAUUCGACUUUUACAAAGUUUCGUCUUCCAAAGGUGGCAUCGAAUUGUCGGGGGUUCGAGCCCCCCAUUGGGCG